AUAAUUAUUAAACGACAGUUUUAUUCGAUUGGUAAGUACGAUGCAAGCCAAAUGACUUAGCAGUUUAGCAAUACCGACGGUUCUCUCCUGUAAGACCUACGGGAGUUUCUACAUCGAUAACAAUGCUAUUAUAAUGCAUCGCUGUGCUACAUUAUUAUAUAAUAUAGUAUACCAUAUAAUGUAAUGCACGUUCUCUAUUAUGGAUUCGUAGUUCGUGCUCUUCACGUGCGUCGAUGAAGGAUUCGAUUCCUUGACUGUCCAGAGUAUAACUUACGUUCGUCACAAGCUACUAAAAGUUUCAUGUGAAAACCCUUGAAGUGCGUUGACAAAGCUCGUGACGAGAAGUCUAUCGAGUCUAAAAUAGACAAUAGAAACUUGAGUAAAAUAGUCGACCGCCGAAGAGGAUGAGCCAAGAUUGGGGUCACCAUGGAGGAAAGCAACGUCGACUGUUUCGAGAGAAUGAAAUACACGUGAAUUCUUCUGAUUGUCAGCCACAGCGACGCGCGUUCAAUGAAAAAUAAUCAUUUCUUUGUGAGCUCUCUGCUGAACUCCUUGAGGUGUUGUGCGCGCCCACGUGUCCCGGGAUUGGCCCUCCUUAAGAAUUACACGAGCCAGAGAGGGCUCUCACACGGUUAGACGGUAAGGAAGAACCAAGGCCUAGGAAGGCCUAGAGAAACGUCUCGAGCUGGUAGCUCCACUCGUGCGCCUGAGAUAUUACGCUGCCUGCCAGUCUACAGGAGAAGAGGAGUCCUGGUUCUUUGUGCGUAUAAAUUAACGAACGUGGGUAGCGGCUGAUUUACAACUUCAGUUCCACCUUCUGAUUGAACCCAUGUGUGUUGAGCAGAAGUAGCGCGCCAUAACAUUGCACAGACUCCGUUCUUCGAAAUAUCCCAGCGGGGCGCCGCAGUCAUUUAUCGACCAGCCGGAGCUUCCGUGGAUUCGAGAAACGAAGCGACUCUGUAUCUAUGCAAGUCGCACGCAAGCCCCGUGCUUCUACAUAUAUGUAUACAGUGCACACGCUGCUCGGCAGAUCGAUAUGCUGGACCAUCGAGCUUCUCCCUCUCCCUCUUGUCUCUUUCUCUUCCUCUCUCGCACUAGUAUCGUCAGCGAAACGGUAACCUUUCUCCUUUACGUCCUUGUCAACUUCAGUCUGACGAUACCAAGUGAGUGCGUAGAGGGAGGGAGAGAGAGGGAGAAGGGGGGAGAACGUGCGUGCUCUCCCUCAACACCAUACACUCAGGUUUGGCCCGGUGGCCUUGACAUUGCAACCCCAUGACUGCUCGACGUCCUGGAAGCACGCAGAGAGCUGACGAUGCGAUGGGAUGUUUACUUUUCAAGAGACAUCCGUUUCCACUUGCACGUAUACAUGGAUUUCUAUGGACUAAUGCAAAACGUUACUAACUAAAAUUGCAUCAAUCGAAUCGACAGUCUGAAUAAGCAAAGCCGAAAUGUUUUGGAAAAUGCUUUGCCGUAUCGCCUUGGGAUAUCAGAAACUUUGAUUAAGCAACAGUAGUGAUUAUUCCGUUUGAAGUAGGCCGCUCAAAUUGUAAUAAAAACUGAGAGGGCGAUGAAAAGGAAGUAAACAAAAAAAGAAAAAGAAAAUUAAAUCAGAGCCAUUACAACUUUAUACGAAAUGAAUAGGUAAGAGAGAGAGAGAGAGAGAGAGAUAAAUAAAAGUCGGAAGUAAAUCUUCGUUCGUGAUAUUUUUU